rnacentral:rRNA from 1 species
UACGUAGGGUGCAAGCGUUAAUCGGAAUUACUGGGCGUAAAGCGUGCGCAGGCGGUUCGCUAAGACAGAUGUGAAAUCCCCGGGCUUAACCUGGGAACUGCAUUUGUGACUGGCGGGCUAGAGUAUGGCAGAGGGGGGGUAGAAUUCCACGUGUAGCAGUGAAAUGCGUAGAGAUGUGGAGGAAUACCGAUGGCGAAGGCAGCCCCCCUGGGGAUAACACUGACGCUCAUGCACGAAAGCGUGGGGAGCAAACAGG